AAUAAGUGGUAGUAGGGAUACGAAAAGAGACUAAAAAGGGAUACUCGACUACCCUAAUUAAAGUAAUCACGGAUAUACCCAAAAUGGAAACAUGCGUGCAUUUAAAGCAACACUAUAGUCACUAGAACAACUACAGCUUAUUGUAUUGGUUCUGGUAAGUAUAAUCAGUCCCUUCAGGCUUUUUUUCUUUUCAGAGAAAAUGAUGUGUUUACAUCACAGCCUAGGUAUAACUCCAGUGGCCACUGUGCAGCACUGACAUGCUGCAUGGAGACACUGAACCUUCAUCAUAGAGAUGCAUUGGUUCAAUUUGCCAAGGUUGUGUUUGGUUUGUGCUGGCUCUGCCUCUGAUCUGC